CACACACAUAUUAGGCUGAGUAAAAAGUAAGCAACGUUUUGAAACAUGAAAUUCGUCACAAUAUAUUCCAACAAUGUGGAAAUUUUGUUCACCAAAGUAAGAACCAUUACAAUCAACACAUUUUUGCCAACAAGUUACAAGUUUGUUUAUUCCGGUUACAUUAAAACCUGGAAUUCUGGAGCUGAUGAACUCUUUGAAUGCACUUUCAGCAUCGGUUUGAUUUUUGAAUUCCUCCUCUCGCCGGAAACCAUAAAGUUGCUUGAAAAAGUGGCAGUCAUUAGGAGAAAAGUCUGG